UACGGAGGGGGCUAGCGUUGUUCGGAAUUACUGGGCGUAAAGCGCACGUAGGCGGAUAUUUAAGUCAGGGGUGAAAUCCCGGGGCUCAACCCCGGAACUGCCUUUGAUACUGGGUAUCUGGAGGUCGAGAGAGGCGAGUGGAAUUCCGAGUGUAGAGGUGAAAUGCGUAGAGAUCCGGAAGAACACCGGUGGCGAAGGCGGCCUGCUGGGCAGUUUAGCUGACACUGAGGCGCGACAGCGUGGGGAGCAAACAGG
rnacentral:rRNA from 1 species